rnacentral:snoRNA from 1 species
GCCCGCCACGCAUUCAAGGUCCCUUGGCGGCGAUUAUAUACCCUCGAUGCUGCUUCACAGGAUACCCAGCGUGGCCAGAGCUGCUGCUGCUGCUGCUGCGACCCGGCGUGCGGACGUGGGUGCGGCGCGUUUGUCUUUUGUCGACCGCGCGCGUGUGCGCGCAGUUCAAGAAGCCGGCGCAUGCGUGAGACCGUGUGCUGCACCGGUGCCGAGGCUGCGCAAGAGCCGUUCGUGUGGGCGUUGCGGUGCGUGCGUGCGUGCGCCGCUGC